GGAGUUCACAAGAGAGGCCAGAGCUGAAGAUUGGGAGCAUCAAUGUAGUUCUUGACGCUGCGGCUAUACUUGUGAUCACUUGGGCAGUGUAGAUAGAGAGAGAGACACUGAAAAAGAUCAAGGACACAUUCUUCUAAGGAGCUGGGGAAGCUGCAAAGUCUUGGCAAGAGACUCAGGAGUAACUGAGGGAAGAGGGAAGGACUGGGAGAAUAUGAAGCCAGAAAACAACCAGAAGUAGGAAGCAGAAGACACAGGGAGGCAGAGACAGCACGGGGCAGCCAAGCUGAGCUCUUGCUGACUCUCAGCAGCAAUGCUAUUUUGGGGAGUGCAUCGGUAGGGGGUGUGCCGGAGACAGAAGCUAGUGCCUUCCUCUAAGCAAGGACUAUACCACCGAACAUCACAGUGAGCCACACUGACCCCCCUUCAAUGGUUUUCUGAGACAAUCUUGGAAGGCAAACAGAGGUAAUAUCACAUGCCUGGAUGGAUGCGGAGAACGUCUGAAGGCUGCCCUACGGAGUUGGAAAUGCUAAGGAUGGAGUUUAUCUUCAACUCCAGGCCUUGUGACAUGGCAACAUGACUACGUGCUUGUAUCUGUCAUCUGGAAAGAACCGAGCUGCUGCCCUGCAUACCAUGACCGAGGCAUCCGGAACCUCAUAGCAACCCUUCUCCUCACUGUGUAUUUUGAGAAUCCAAAUAACACGAACUCCAGUGCUGUCUUUCGUGAUUUAAAACACAAAGGACAACUCAUGAACGUGACUCAGGCUUUAUAAACGAAAAAAGAAAUCAUAGAUGCCUAGCUAACGGCCGUGGUAACCUCUCUGGGCUUCUGUUUUAGAAGUAAAGCCAAUCUAUGAUGAAGUUUCAUAAGUCAAGUGCUUACUAUAAAGCUGAACAUAGCUUUUCAAUGAGUGUUUGCCAUUUAAAAUUCUGCUAGAGGGCUGGAGAGAUAGCUAAUCAAGUCAAGAGCACUGGCUGAUCUUUCACAGGACCCAAGUUCGAUUCCCAGGACCCAAGUUUGAUUCCCAGAACCUGUUGGCAGUUUACAAUCACCAAUAACUCCAGUCCCAGGGGAUUCAACACUCUCUUCUGGCCUCUGCAGGCACCAGGAAUUAAUGCAGUAUACAGACAUGCAUGCGGACAGACAUCCAUAUACAUAAAAUAAACAAAUUUUAAAAAAUUCCCUGAGAAAAUAUGUGUAAGAAGUUUAUUUUCCU
rnacentral:lncRNA from 1 species